GAUGAACGCUGGCGGCGUGCCUAAUACAUGCAAGUCGAGCGAACAGACGAGGAGCUUGCUCCUCUGACGUUAGCGGCGGACGGGUGAGUAACACGUCGAUAACCUACCUAUAAGACUGGGAUAACUUCGGGAAACCGGAGCUAAUACCGGAUAAUAUAUUGAACCGCAUGGUUCAAUAGUGAAAGACGGUUUUGCUGUCACUUAUAGAUGGAUCCGCGCCGCAUUAGCUAGUUGGUAAGGUAACGGCUUACCAAGGCAACGAUGCGUAGCCGACCUGAGAGGGUGAUCGGCCACACUGGAACUGAGACACGGUCCAGACUCCUACGGGAGGCAGCAGUAGGGAAUCUUCCGCAAUGGGCGAAAGCCUGACGGAGCAACGCCGCGUGAGUGAUGAAGGUCUUCGGAUCGUAAAACUCUGAUAUUAGGGAAGAACAAAUGUGUAAGUAACUAUGCACGUCUUGACGGUACCUAAUCAGAAAGCCACGGCUAACUACGUG
rnacentral:rRNA from 1 species